GAAUCAAUCUCAUGCUCUCCACUCCUCCAUGACCACCACAGCAGCUGCUCUGGAUACGGCCUGGCUCAGGAUUUUAGAAACCUUGUGAUUAAUAAAAAAAAAAGACUAACAUACACUCAGCACCACCUUCAAGAUGGGCAGUUUCCAGUGGCACCACGUGGAGGAACGGACUUCGCCACCUAUAUAUACAGGCUUUUCUGGCUGAGGUGGAACAGCGCCCUCUGUCUGACAGGUUGCACCUUGAGCAACAUCCUCU